UUCGGGGGACAAAGUGACAGGUGGUGCAUGGUUGUCGUCAGCUCGUGUCGUGAGAUGUUGGGUUAAGUCCCGCAACGAGCGCAACCCUUAAGCUUAGUUGCCAUCAUUAAGUUGGGCACUCUAAGUUGACUGCCGGUGACAAACCGGAGGAAGGUGGGGAUGACGUCAAAUCAUCAUGCCCCUUAUGAUUUGGGCUACACACGUGCUACAAUGGACAAUACAAAGGGCAGCGAAACCGCGAGGUCAAGCAAAUCCCAUAAAGUUGUUCUCAGUUCGGAUUGUAGUCUGCAACUCGACUACAUGAAGCUGGAAUCGCUAGUAAUCGUAGAUCAGCAUGCUACGGUGAAUACGUUCCCGGGUCUUGUACACACCGCCCGUCACACCACGAGAGUUUGUAACACCCGAAGCCGGUGGAGUAACCUUUUAGGAGCUAGCCGUCGAAGGUGGGACAAAUGAUUGGGGUGAAGUCGUAACAAGGUAGCCGUAUCGGAAGGUGCGGCUGGAUCACCUCCUUU
rnacentral:rRNA from 1 species